GAUGAACGCUGGCGGCGUGCCUAAUACAUGCAAGUCGAGCGAACAGACGAGGAGCUUGCUCCUCUGACGUUAGCGGCGGACGGGUGAGUAACACGUGGAUAACCUACCUAUAGGCCGGGGAUAACUUGGGGAAACGGGGGCUAAUACCGAAAAAUAUAUUAAACGGCAGGGUUCACUAGUGAAGGACGGUUUGGUGGUAACUUAUAAAGGAAUCGCGGCCGCAUUAGCUAGUUGGUAAGGUAACGGCUUCCCAAGGCAACGAUGCGUAGCCGACCUGAGAGGGUGAUCGGCCACACUGGAACUGAGACACGGUCCAGACUCCUACGGGAGGCAGCAGUAGGGAAUCUUCCGCAAAGGGCGAAAGCCUGACGGAGCAACGCCGCGUGAGUGAUGAAGGUCUUCGGAUCGUAAAACUCUGUUAUUAGGGAAGAACAAAUGUGUAAGUAACUAUGCACGUCUUGACGGUACCUAAUCAGAAAGCCACGGCUAACUACGUG
rnacentral:rRNA from 1 species